rnacentral:misc_RNA from 1 species
UCAAACUUGGUCAUUUAGAGGAAGUAAAAGUCGUAACAAGGUUUCCGUAGGUGAACCUGCGGAAGGAUCAUUACAGAUAUAUAAUUUAAUAUCUUUCCAAACCCCCCUAUUCGUGUGAACUUUUGGUGUUAUGUGAGUACAAGUCCCCCUAUUUAAUAGGGGGGCUUUAUGAAAGCAUACAAACCAAACUUUUUCUUCAUAUACACAUCUCACAAUUGCUUGUAUGGUUACAUGGAUGUUGGAAUAUAAAUAUGAUGAUGAAUAAAUAUAUAUAACUUUCAGCAACGGAUCUCUUGGCUCUUGCAUCGAUGAAGAACGCAGC